ACGGCUCAGUAACACGUAGUCAACCUGCCCUCGAGUCGAGAAUAAUCUCGGGAAACUGAGGCUAAUGCUCGAUAGAUCAAGAUUCCUGGAAUGGGUUUUGGUCCAAACGGUGUAACGGCAUCUCGUUAUUUCCGCUCGAGGAUGGGACUGCGGCCGAUCAGGCUGUUGGUGGGGUAAAGGCCCACCAAACCAGUAACCGGUACGGGCUUUGAGAGAAGGAGCCCGGAGAUGGACACUGAGACAAGGGUCCAGGUCCUACGGGACGCAGCAGGCGCGAAACCUCCACACUGUGGGAAACCACGAUGGGGGAACUCCGAGUGCCUACACUGUGUGUAGGCUGUUCUCGAGCCUAAAAAGCUCGAGAAGUAAGGGCCGGGUAAGACGGGUGCCAGCCGCCGCGGUAAUACCCGCGGCCCGAGUGGUGCUCAUUAUUAUUGAGUCUAAAGCGUUCGUAGCUGGCCGGGCAAAUCUCCGGGUAAAUCGGGCCGCUCAACGGUCCGAAUUCCAGAGACACUGCCCGGCUUGGGAUCGGGAGAGGGAGGAGGUACUCCCUGGGUAGGGGUAAAAUCCUGUAAUCCGGGGGGGACCACCAGUGGCGAAGGCGUCCUCCUAGAACGAGUCCGACAGUGAGGGACGAAGCCCUAGGGCGCAAACGGGAUUAGAUACCCCGGUAGUCUAGGGUGUAAACGCUGCCGACUUGGUGUUGGGGGUCCUGCGUGGGCUCCCAGUGCCGGAGUGAAGAUGUUAAGUCGGCCACUUGGGGAGUACGGUCGCAAGACUGAAACUUAAAGGAAUUGGCGGGGGAGCAC
rnacentral:rRNA from 1 species